rnacentral:sRNA from 1 species
GCACUGGAUGAAGGUUUCACCGUUAUGCUUCAGUGCUGCGUCCUGAAGGAGAGCGACGGCAGGGAUGCAGACAGUGC